UGGGGAAUUUUUCGCAAUGGGGGAAACCCUGACGAAGCAACGCCGCGUGGAGGAUGAAGGCCUUCGGGUCGUAAACUCCUGUCGACCGGGAAGAAUGCGCCCGACCUAACACGUCGAAGCGUUGACUGUACCGGUGGAGGAAGCCACGGCUAACUCUGUGCCAGCAGCCGCGGCAAUACAGAGGUGGCAAGCGUUGUUCGGAAUUACUGGGCGUAAAGGGCGCGUAGGCGGCCCGCCAAGUCCCGUGUGAAAGCCCCCGGCUCAACCGGGGAACGGCGCGGGAAACUAGCAGGCUUGAGUUCGGGAGAGGGAAGCGGAAUUCCGGGUGUAGCGGUGAAAUGCGCAGAUAUCCGGAGGAACACCGGUGGCGAAGGCGGCUUCCUGGACCGACACUGACGCUGAGGCGCGAAAGCUAGGGGAGCAAACGGGAUUAGAUACCCCGGUAGUCCUAGCCCUAAACGAUGAGAACUGGGUGUAGGGGGUAUGAACCCCCCCUGUGCCGAAGCUAACGCAUUAAGUUCUCCGCCUGGGGAGUACGGUCGCAAGGCUG
rnacentral:rRNA from 1 species